GAUGAAGAACGCAGCGAAAUGCGAUAAGUAAUGCGAAUUGCAGAAUUCAGUGAGUCAUCGAAUCUUUGAACGCACAUUGCGCCCUUUGGUAUUCCGAAGGGCAUGCCUGUUCGAGCGUCAUUAUUAACCCUCAAGCCUUGCUUGUUGUUGGAUCUCAUCUCGUUAAAGAGAUGGGUCCGAAAGGUAUUGACGGCGUCGUGAUCGACCCCCGGUGCAACGAGCUUUACGGCACGCACGGUGGCGGUCGGCCCCGGCCCGGCCUUCACUAUAUUAUUUCUCGAAAGGUUGACCUCGGAUCAGGUAGGAAUACCCGCUGAACUUAAGCAUAUCAAUAAGCGGAGGA
rnacentral:misc_RNA from 1 species